rnacentral:rRNA from 1 species
UACGGGGGGGGCAAGCGUUGUUCGGAAUUACUGGGCGUAAAGGGCUCGUAGGCGGCCAACUAAGUCAGACGUGAAAUCCCUCGGCUUAACCGGGGAACUGCGUCUGAUACUGGAUGGCUAGAGGUUGGGAGAGGGAUGCGGAAUUCCAGGUGUAGCGGUGAAAUGCGUAGAUAUCUGGAGGAACACCGGUGGCGAAGGCGGCAUCCUGGACCAAUUCUGACGCUGAGGAGCGAAAGCCAGGGGAGCAAACGG